UACAGAGGGGGCAAGCGUUGUUCGGAAUUACUGGGCGUAAAGGGCGCGUAGGCGGCCCGCUAAGUCGAACGUGAAAUCCCCGGGCUCAACCCGGGAACUGCGUCCGAUACUGGAAGGCUUGAAUCCGGGAGAGGGAUGUGGAAUUCCAGGUGUAGCGGUGAAAUGCGUAGAUAUCUGGAGGAACACCGGUGGCGAAGGCGACAUCCUGGACCGGUAUUGACGCUGAGGCGCGAAAGCCAGGGGAGCAAACGGGG
rnacentral:rRNA from 1 species